AUUGAACGCUGGCGGCAUGCCUUACACAUGCAAGUCGGACGGCAGCGCGGACUUCGGUCUGGCGGCGAGUGGCGAACGGGUGAGUAGUGCAUCGGAACGUACCCGGGAGUGGGGGAUAACGUAGCGAAAGUUACGCUAAUACCGCAUAUUCUGUGAGCAGGAAAGCAGGGGAUCGCAAGACCUUGCGCUUUCGGAGCGGCCGAUGUCGGAUUAGCUAGUUGGCGGGUAAAGCCCACCAAGGCGACGAUCCGUAGCGGGUCUGAGAGGACGAUCCGCCACACUGGGACUGAGACACGGCCCAGACUCCUACGGGAGGCUGCCUGAGACGCCAAGGCACACAGGGGAUAGG
rnacentral:rRNA from 1 species